CUUACAGGACGACCUGUAAGCGCUUCUCUCAUCGGGGACGGCCCC
rnacentral:ncRNA from 1 species